GUAGCGCCAUCCAAUGAACGGGCUAGUGGUUCAAUCAAAAAGGAGAUUCAACCAGAUGCCUUCGACAGAUAUACUGUAUUGAGGUCUAUAUUAUUAGUUUUUAUGAGAAAUUUAAUUGUACCUACGCCCUACCUAGCAUACUGUAGCUGAAGUGUAAAAGCAAACGACACCAGCUAAUCGAUAUUUGUUCAUUUUCUGUUUAGCUAGAGCAAGCCCAUUGCUGAUUCAUUGUUAUUUAAAUAAUUUUAACAACACCAUUUUGCUUUUUGCGCCAUUGUUUAAUAUAACGAUAUCAUUUGCCUCUCAAUAUAACUCACGAAAUACUUCAAAAAGCUUCGCUUACGCACCGAGUCUACAAUCACUUGACACAUGUUAAAAUAUUAAUUGAAAUAAUACAGGAAGGAGGCGAAGGCGCACCCGCGGCAGAAGGCGCUCCUCCAGCCGAAGGAGCGCCUCCAGCUGAAGGGGCGGCUCCCCCAGCGGAGGGCGCACCCGCGGCACCCCCGGCGGAGGGAGCGGCGCCGGUAGCUCCUCCAGCCGAGGGGGCAGCCCCGGCGGCACCCGCGGCGGCCCCUGCGGAGGGAGCCCCCGCUGCACCCCCGGCGGAGGGCGCCCCCGCGGCUCCUCCGGCCGAAGGGGCCCCCGCAGCCCCCGCCGCUCCCCCCGCAGAAGGCGCCCCCGCUGCGCCUGCGCCGGCAGAAGGUGCCCCCGCAGCGCCCGCGGAGGGUGCUCCGGCCGCGCCCCCUGCCGAAGCCGCCCCUGCGCCCGCGCCGGCGCCUGAGGCCGCGGCCGCGCCUCCUCCAGUUGAAGCUUCAGCCUAGACAGUCGAAGCCAGCACUAGUCUCCAGCCUCAUCAUCACGACUGGAGCUCAGCCACCGGGUCGAUGUCACAGCAUUUUCACAAACAUGAAGCUUUAUUUUUGUACCGGACCAUUCUCAGAGAAAAACAAACUCAAUUUGUACAUUUUGUAUUACCAUGAAUUAAAUUUCAAGUAUAAUUUAAA